CAGGGAAUUUAAUUAUAUAGAAAAGGGUCUAAGAUGACUCCAAGCUUCUAGCUAAGGCAAUUAGGAAAAAAUGUAGAAAAGCCUUAUACUUAUUAAAUAUUUUCUAUAUGCCAGACGUUGUGCUAGUUGGACAUGUCCAUGAACUUACUGAAUCCUCAUAGUAACACUGUGACGUAGAUAUAUUAUUACCUCAACCUCAGAUGAAAAAUAGAGAGUUAGAGAUGUAAUUUUCACAAGACACACAAAGUGGCAAAGAAGUUUUAGAGGUAGGUGCGUCCAAUUGCCUUACCCAUCAGACAAUAUUGUACCCUCCUUACCACCAUGGGUGGAUGGGUCCUGGGCACCAAGACAGCAAAUUCCGAAUGAAGAGCAGGUUUGAGAGGCAACCCAACAUGGAAGGAUGGAGGAAAGACAAAUGUGAGGUGACGAAGUAAACAAGCACUGAACGGUAACUCGGGAGCCCGGGGAUUGGUUCUUCAGCCUGGGAUGUCCAAGGUCAAGGCACCAGAAGAUGGGAUAUCUGGGGAGAGCCCGCUGCGACUUGCAGAUGGCUAUGUCCACGGAUGUAGCCUCCCGUGACAGCUAGCAGAGGAAGGAAGCAAGCUCUCUUCUUAUACGGGUGUCCUAAAAAAAGGCUCCUUCGACCUACCAGGCUCCCAGUGGGGUGCACGGAACACAGAAGGCUAGGAGUCCCCACUGUGCCAGCUGGGCCAGGGACAGUCCCCGGGGAACCUUGGCUGCCAGGAGCUGUGGUUGCUGCAACACAUCCUUUACAAUCAGAAAAGACCAGAACGAUUUCCAUCCAGGGCUGAAUGAUAGAAAGCUGAUUUUUAAAAUGCAGGUAACCAAUCUGACAGUGACGUUUCAGUGAAGAACAAAUGACUGAAAUUUGAUAGAAGUUUUGCUUUUGCACAUUGCCAGGCUCACCUGUCUUUCCAGAAGCCCGUUUCUCUUCCUGGCUGCCUGAGGAUUCCGGAGCGGGAAAUCCUGACCCCGCACUGUGGCCCGCUUCCGCCGGGCUCUCCAUCACGUGGCUCACCCUCUCUGAACACAUGCGUGAGAGCAUCGAGACCCUUCCAGAUUCAAAAGAAACUCUUGUGUUGAGAUUUUGCAGUAAAGCAAAGAUGAAUAACUACUGCCCUCGUUGUUGCUCCCUUAGCAGCUCUGUUUACGUAUUUUGGACUGCAUUGUUUUCUUUGAAAAGGGAU